rnacentral:rRNA from 1 species
CAGCCGCCGCGGGAAUACGUAGGGUGCAAGCGUUAAUCGGAAUUACUGGGCGUAAAGCGUGCGCAGGCGGUUAUAUAAGACAGAUGUGAAAUCCCCGGGCUCAACCUGGGAACUGCAUUUGUGACUGUAUAGCUAGAGUACGGCAGAGGGGGAUGGAAUUCCGCGUGUAGCAGUGAAAUGCGUAGAUAUGCGGAGGAACACCGAUGGCGAAGGCAAUCCCCUGGGCCUGUACUGACGCUCAUGCACGAAAGCGUGGGGAGCAAACAGGAUUAGAUACCCCGGUAGUCCCUGUCUCUUAUAA